rnacentral:rRNA from 1 species
AGUGAACGCUGGCGGUAGGCCUAACACAUGCAAGUCGAACGGCAGCACAGGAGAGCUUGCUCUCUGGGUGGCGAGUGGCGGACGGGUGAGGAAUACAUCGGAAUCUACUCUGUCGUGGGGGAUAACGUAGGGAAACUUACGCUAAUACCGCAUACGACCUACGGGUGAAAGCAGGGGACCUUCGGGCCUUGCGCGAUUGAAUGAGCCGAUGUCGGAUUAGCUAGUUGGCGGGGUAAGGGCCCACCAAGGCGACGAUCCGUAGCUGGUCUGGGAGGAUGAUCAGCCACACUGGAACUGAGACACGGUCCAGACUCCUACGGGAGGAAGCAGUGGGGAAUAUUGGACAAUGGGCGCAAGCCUGAUCCAGCCAUACCGCGUGGGUGAAGAAGGCCUUCGGGUUGUAAAGCCCUUUUGUUGGGAAAGAAAUCCAGCUGGCUAAUACCCGGUUGGGAUGACGGUACCCAAAGAAUAAGCACCGGCUAACUUCGUGCCAGCCGCCGCAGUAA